GGUGGAGACACGGAACCCUUGCGCGCUGUUGCUGGGAUGCGAAAUGGUGCAGCCACUAGGGAAAACAAUACGAGGUUCCUCAGAAAGGGAAACAUAGAAUUCUAUAAUCCAGCGGUUGAUUCUGCUUCUGGGUAGAUACGCCAAACAAUUGAAAGUAGGGUCUCAGAGAGCUGUUUGCACACCCGUGUUUCUAGCAGCAUUCUUCACAGGAGCCAAAAGCUGGAAGCAACCCAACUGCCCAUCAACGGACAGACGAACUGGCAAACAAUAUGUGGUCUAUGCAUACAAUGGAGUGUCAUUCAGCCUUAAAAAGGAGGGAAGUUCUGACACAUGCUACAUCGGGGCCGAACCUUGAGGGCGCUGUGCUAACUGAGAUAAGCCAGACGUAAAAGGACGAAUGCUGUAGGAUUCCGCUCACGUGAGGGCCCUGGAGCAGUCAGAUUCAGAGGGACGGAAAGUUGACCGGUGCUCGUUGAGGGCUGUGAGGGGCUGUGGCCCAGGCAGGUGUGGUUUAACGGGGACUGGUCUCAUUCUGCCAGAUGAAGGGUUCUGGAGGCUGGUGGCACAAUAAUGGGAAGGUACCUAACCCUACUGAACUGUAAAAUUCAAAAUAGUUAACAGGAUAAACUUUAUGCUAUGUGUAUUUUACCAAUUUUUUUUUUUUUUUUAAAAGCUACAGAUAUGGAGACUGGCGGAAGAUUGGGACCAUUUUUGCAGAAGACCCACCACAAUUGGGUUCUAGGCUAUGGCACCUUCCAGGGUUACAGGAACCUCUCUGAGCAUCAGUGGUUACCUCAUCUUUGAAUUCGGAGCACUUGCACCCUGACAGCUCAGCCGAGGGCAUCAUAGCUCCAUCCUGGGAGGCCGGGAGCUGCCUCACCUGCAGUGAACGGAGGGUGUUUACAGAGGCCUGCUGUCCCCGCCCUCCCACUUCAAGUGUGCUCAUCUCUGAAGGGCCAUUCCAGCCCCAGGGCUCCCUCCACCACCUGCUGCCCAGCCUGGUACCCCUGGAGGCCUUCUUGCAAGCGUGCGGCAGUUCAAUUUCUCCCGAGGCCCUCCCGGGGAGUUGCUCCCCUGGGGCACUCCCGCAUCAACCUCCCGCACACAGAUCUCUCUCUCAGAGACUGUCACCCUGGGAU
rnacentral:lncRNA from 1 species